rnacentral:rRNA from 1 species
CCCUCGAGGGUAUUGCCUUAGUACGGCGAGUGAAGCGGCAAAAGCUCAAAUUUGAAAUCUGGCACCUUCGGUGUCCGAGUUGUAAUUUGAAGAAGGUAACUUUGGAGUUGGCUCUUGUCUAUGUUCCUUGGAACAGGACGUCACAGAGGGUGAGAAUCCCGUGCGAUGAGAUGCCCAAUUCUAUGUAAAGUGCUUUCGAAGAGUCGAGUUGUUUGGGAAUGCAGCUCUAAGUGGGUGGUAAAUUCCAUCUAAAGCUAAAUAUUGGCGAGAGACCGAUAGCGAACAAGUACAGUGAUGGAAAGAUGAAAAGAACUUUGAAAAGAGAGUGAAAAAGUACGUGAAAUUGUUGAAAGGGAAGGGCUUGAGAUCAGACUUGGUAUUUUGCGAUCCUUUCCUUCUUGGUUGGGUUCCUCGCAGCUUACUGGGCCAGCAUCGGUUUGGAUGGUAGGAUAAUGACUAAGGAAUGUGGCUCUACUUCGGUGGAGUGUUAUAGCCUUGGUUGAUACUGCCUGUCUAGACCGAGGACUGCGUCUUUUGACUAGGAUGUUGGCAUAAUGAUCUUAAGCCACCCCUCUUAAAAGGGGACCCAAAAAAAAAAGGGGAGAAAAAAAAAAAAAACCCCAGCGAAUAAGGAUUCGGGAGAAAGUGACUUGGAGGGGGGGCGGGU